UACGUAGGGUGCGAGCGUUGUCCGGAAUUAUUGGGCGUAAAGAGCGUGUAGGCGGCCAGGUAGGUCCGUUGUGAAAACUCGAGGCUCAACCUCGAGACGUCGAUGGAAACCAUUUGGCUAGAGUCCGGAAGAGGAGAGUGGAAUUCCUGGUGUAGCGGUGAAAUGCGCAGAUAUCAGGAAGAACACCCGUGGCGAAGGCGGUGCUCUGGGACGGUACUGACGCUGAGACGCGAAAGCGUGGGGAGCAAACAGG
rnacentral:rRNA from 1 species